UGGGGAAUAUUGCACAAUGGGCGCAAGCCUGAUGCAGCCAUGCCGCGUGUAUGAAGAAGGCCUUCGGGUUGUAAAGUACUUUCAGUCGGGAGGAAGGUGUCAAGGUUAAUAACCUUGGCAAUUGACGUUACCGACAGAAGAAGCACCGGCUAACUCCGUGCCAGCAGCCGCGGUAAUACGGAGGGUGCAAGCGUUAAUCGGAAUUACUGGGCGUAAAGCGCACGCAGGCGGUUGAUUGAGUCAGAUGUGAAAUCCCCGGGCUUAACCCGGGAACUGCAUCGGAUACUGGCAAGCUUGAGUCUCGUAGAGGGGGGUAGAAUUCCAGGUGUAGCGGUGAAAUGCGUAGAGAUCUGGAGGAAUACCGGUGGCGAAGGCGGCCCCCUGGACGAAGACUGACGCUCAGGUGCGAAAGCGGGGGGAGCAAACAGG
rnacentral:rRNA from 1 species